rnacentral:rRNA from 1 species
UGGCAAGCUGGAGCUUGACCUGGGCUCGGACGAUGAACCGGUGCUUGUUUGGGGAUUAGUGGCGAACGGGUGAGUAACACGAGAUUAACCUGCCCUUGACUCUGGGAUAAGCCUGGGAAACUGGGUCUAAUACCGGAUAUGACUGACCGUCGCAUGGUGGUUGGUGGAAAGCUUUUGUGGUUUUGGAUGGACUCGCGGCCUAUCAGCUUGUUGGUGAGGUAAUGGCUUACCAAGGCGACGACGGGUAGCCGGCCUGAGAGGGUGACCGGCCACACUGGGACUGAGACACGGCCCAGACUCCUACGGGAGGCAGCAGUGGGGAAUAUUGCACAAUGGGCGCAAGCCUGAUGCAGCGACGCCGCGUGAGGGAUGACGGCCUUCGGGUUGUAAACCUCUUUCAGUAGGGAAGAAGCCGUAAGGUGACGGUACCUGCAGAAGAAGCGCCGGCUAACUACGUGCCAGCAGCCGCGGUAAUACGUAGGGCGCAAGCGUUAUCCGGAAUUAUUGGGCGUAAAGAGCUCGUAGGCGGUUUGUCGCGUCUGCCGUGAAAGUCCGGGGCUCAACUCCGGAUCUGCGGUGGGUACGGGCAGACUAGAGUGAUGUAGGGGAGACUGGAAUUCCUGGUGUAGCGGUGAAAUGCGCAGAUAUCAGAGGAACACCGAUGGCGAAGGCAGGUCUCUGGGCAUUAACUGACGCUGAGGAGCGAAAGCAUGGGGAGCGAACAGGAUUAGAUACCCUGGUAGUCCAUGCCGUAAACGUUGGGCACUAGGUGUGGGGGACAUUCCACGUUUUCCGCGCCGUAGCUAACGCAUUAAGUGCCCCGCCUGGGGAGUACGGCCGCCAG